UUGUCUCCUCUUUUAAAUUUUCCUUUUCGAGGAGCUUUUUCAAAAUUUCUUUGUAUUCAGGGAUCUACUGCAAGGCUUCUGUCAUAAGAACUUUUAUCCUCAAUUCUUUGAAGACUUCUUCAAGGCACCCUGCUUGUAUUUUUCCUGUAACAUGUUCUUCAGGGCGCUUGAUAUUUUUUUCAAAUUUUUUUUUCUUUUUUUCUCUCAAUUAACCUCUUCUUUUUCUAUCUCACUCAACUUCUUUUUCACUUUCUUCUUUUUUCUCACCCUCACUCAAUCUUUCUUCCUCAAUUUUUUAUCUCUCUCUUCUCUUUUUUCGCUCUCUUUUUCUUCCCUAUCUUCUUCUCUCUCAUCUUCAGUGCUUGUUAUAGCCCUACAUUUUUCCUUGGGGUUAACCUCAGUAUUAGCCCCAAAAAUUUUAUGCACCUUCUCUUGCAUUUGUUGGACCGUUUGGAUUAAUUAGCCCAUCUGUCUUUCCAGGUUCUUGAUAGUCGCGUCUGUGCUUCUUUGGUUAGAGUGGGUUGCCUACAUGAAUUGAUGGAGAGUUUCUUCAAGCUUUGCAGAUUUGUCUGAUGAAGAGGGUUGUUGCUGCCACUGUUGUUGCUGCUGUGGUGGCUUAUUGUAUUGUCCACCAGUUUGUCCAAAUUGCCCUUGUCCAUUACUUGGGUGAGAUUUCCACCCUUGAUAGUUGGUAUUGGAGCAGAACUGAUUCUGAUUGCCCAUUUAUUUAACUUCUUCAUUGAGAUUCUCGGGUAUUGCACAUUGACCAUUGAG
rnacentral:lncRNA from 1 species